GUGGCGGACGGGUGAGUAACGCGUGGGCAACCUACCCUUUAGCCCGGGAUAACUUCCGGAAACGGGAGCUAAUCCCGGAUGCGGAGCAAGGGACGCAUGUUCGUUGCUCGAAAGCUACGGCGCUAAAGGAUGGGCCCGCGUCCCAUUAGCUAGUUGGUGAGGUAACGGCUCACCAAGGCGACGAUGGGUAGCCGGCCUGAGAGGGUGGACGGCCACACUGGGACUGAGACACGGCCCAGACUCCUACGGGAGGCAGCAGUAGGGAAUCUUGCGCAAUGGGCGAAAGCCUGACGCAGCGACGCCGCGUGAGGGAAGAAGGCCUUCGGGUCGUAAACCUCUGUCCUUGGGGACGAUGAUGACGGUACCCAAGGAGGAAGCCCCGGCUAACUACGUGCCAGCAGCCGCGGUAAUACGUAGGGGGCGAGCGUUGUCCGGAAUUACUGGGCGUAAAGGGUGCGUAGGCGGCAAGGUAAGUCCUGUGUGAAAGGUCGCG
rnacentral:rRNA from 1 species